rnacentral:rRNA from 1 species
UUUAGAAAGUUGAGAGUAAAGGAUUUAUUCGCUUCGAGAGGAGCCUGCGUCCCAUCAGCUAGUUGGUAGGGUAAUAGCCUACCAAGGCUUUGACGGGUAGGGGACCUGAGAGGGUGGCCCCCCACAAUGGAACUGAAACACGGUCCAUACACCUACGGGUGGCAGCAGUAGGGAAUAUUAGAAAUGGACGAAAGUCUGAUCUAGCGACACCGCGUGUGCGAUGAAGGCCUUCGGGUUGUAAAGCACUUUUUGGAAGGAAUAGGAAGGAAGGUACUUCCAGAAUAAGUCUCGGCUAACUACGUGCCAGCAGCCGCGGUAACACGUAGGAGGCAAACGUUAUCCGGAUUUACUGGGCGUAAAGCGCGUGUAGGUGGUUCUGUAAGUAGGGCGUGAAAGCUCCCGGCUCAACUGGGAGAGGCCGUUCUAAACU